CGAUGAAUAUGAGCUAACAUGCACUCUGAAUAUGUAUGCGUGUGCAUAUAUGGACUUUACGAGCAGCAAGCUGGUCACGUAAUCAUUUCUUCCUUCAACAGUGAGUCGAGUCGGCAAAAGAGAGAGAAAUUCCACUGAGUGUAAUAUUCUACCACGUAAUCAUGAGCUUGUAGACUCUGCAACAGUCACCCAGAAAAAAAAACUCCACAGCAAAAAAGAAAAACUCAAGAGUUGAAAGCAUUCCAAAUUGGCAGGCCCAGCAGCAAUGGCGGAGAUUGUGAUCUCUGAAUUUCCACGUCUCGUCUCUAUCAAUUCAAUCCGAUCAAAAGCACUAUCAUGUCUACAUGUGACACAAAUCAGACCACCACCACCACCACCACCCCCCUUAACCCUGCGUUUCUUCCACAACAAAGCUCAGAAACAAGAUAGGGAAGAUGAAGACGAAGCAUGCAUACCUCGCUGUAAAGUGAUUCAUCGCGUUGACUCCAAGAAAAAGAGGAGGAAGAAAAAUUAAACACAACUCAUUCACUGUCAAUGGUUUAAGAUCGUGACACUCACGGUCUCUCUUCUCUCCACUUUCUUUUCUUCUUCCCUUUUUCUCUGUCUCUUCUUUGUUAUCUACCUCUCAUUCUUCCUGUGAAGAUACGUGCGUUCAUCUUCGUCGCUCUCUUUUUCUGUCUGUACCUUAUCUACCCGUUCUUGCUUUUCAUUAAUGGCUGCUUGGGCUUUAUUUAUGUUCCCUAUUCUCUUCGGUUCAAAAUCUCAUUUGUGUGUCAAUUGUUUUUAAUUAAUAUCACCGUUGAGCCCACUCUUUCCCAUAAUCUUUCUGGUUUCUGGUUGUUUUUUUACGGGGAAAUCUCUAGAUUUUUCUUUACCCUUUCUCGCUCUCGUUAUUAUUAUUUAAUCUUUUAAUCGAAGUAGAAAGCUUUUAGUUCCCAGAAAGACAAUGUAAAGUGAAGACCAUCUGUUUGUGUAUUUGCUUCACAUGUCCUGCAACAAGGGACUGUUUUUUUUUUUUUUUUUGAUGAUUGUCUUUUCUGGUCAUAUUCUUCUAUUAUUUUUAGCACCCAUUUGGCCUACUUGAGACUCUCUAUAUAUAUAUGGCAUUCAAUUUUCGAGGUACGUUGCCAUCCCAUUCUUCUGUAUAUUGAAAUUUCCAUUGACAGAAAGGAAGAGAGUUUUAGAUUUUUCUAUAUUUCCUGCUGUGGUAUCUCGUGAAUACUUCAUCUCUUUCCCAUACAUUUUCUUUGGUUACUGUUACUAGCCUUGUUCUUUCUUGAUAGAGAAGGGAACCUAGAAAUGGCAAGUGAUUACCUCCUAAAGGCAUUUGGGUUUUUAGUGAUAGUGCUUUUUUACUUCCAUGCUUCCUUUGUUAGAUCGUUAAAAGAAGAGGGCCUCAUACUUUUGGAAUUCAAAACCUUCCUUAAUGAUUCUGAUAGUAAUCUUGAGAGCUGGAAUCCACUUGAUUUGACUCCAUGUAGUUGGACUGGCAUUGGUUGUAGUGAUGAUCUUGAGGUAACUUCUGUAAAUCUCAAUGGACUUAACUUGUCUGGUAGUUUAUCUCCCAGCAUUUGUAAACUUACCAAAUUAGUUGAGUUGAAUGUGUCUACAAAUUUCAUCUCCGGUCCCAUUCCUCAAAAUUUAUCUGUGUGUCACAGUCUAGAGAUUCUUGAUCUCUGUACCAAUAGGUUUCAUGGGGAAUUACCAUCCCAGCUGUGCAUGAUUAGUACUCUGAAAAAGCUCUACUUAUGUGAGAACUACAUUUUUGGCGAGAUUCCUGAGGAGAUUGGGAGUUUAACUUCCCUCCAAGAGCUUGUAAUUUACAGUAAUAAUCUGACAGAUAGAAUUCCCGCAUCAAUCGGUAAAUUGAAACAACUUCAGGUUGUCAGGGCUGGUCGGAAUUCUUUCUCCGGUCCAAUCCCACCUGAAAUCAGCGAGUGUGAGAGUUUACAGGUUUUGGGUUUGGCGGAGAACAUUCUUGAGGGUUCUCUCCCUAGAGAGCUUCAGAAACUUCAGAAUCUUACUGAUAUGAUCCUCUGGAAAAACCGUUUGUCUGGUGAGAUUCCUCCAGAGAUUGGGAAUAUCAGUAGCCUGGAAUUGCUUGCCUUGCAUGAAAAUUCUUUGACUGGAAAUCUUCCCAAAGAGCUUGGGAAGUUAUUCAAGAUAAAAAGGUUGUACAUAUAUACCAACCAAUUGAAUGGAACAAUUCCACGGGAACUAGGAAAUUGCAGCAAGGCUCUCGAGAUAGAUUUUUCUGAAAAUGAGUUCACUGGAUUCAUUCCUAGCGAGCUGGGACAGAUUCCUAAUCUCCGUUUGCUUCACCUUUUUGAAAACCGUCUCCAGGGGCCUAUUCCUUGGGAGCUUGGACAAUUGACACAACUUCAAAACUUAGACUUGUCCAUAAACAAUUUGAGCGGAACAAUUCCAAAAGAGUUCCAGAAGCUGACUUUCCUAGUAAAUUUGCAACUUUUUGACAAUCAUCUUGAGGGUACAAUUCCUCCCCUUCUUGGUUUUAACAGCAAUCUAACCAUCCUUGACAUGGCUACUAAUAACCUUGUUGGUAGAAUACCAGCACACCUCUGCAGAUAUCAUAAACUGAUGUUUUUGAGCCUGGGAUCAAAUAGACUGUCUGGUAAUAUUCCAUAUGGUUUGAAAAUAUGCAAGUCUCUCGUACAGCUGAUGCUAGGAGGUAAUCAGCUGACAGGGAGCCUCCCCGUGGAACUAUAUAAGCUUCACAAUCUUUCUUCUCUUGAACUUUAUCAGAAUCGAUUCUCAGGACCAAUUCCGCCAGAGCUAGGAAAGCUUGAGAAUUUAGAGAGGUUACUUUUGGCAGAUAACUACUUUGUUGGAUAUAUUCCCCUGGAGAUUGGGAAUCUCUCUCAGCUUGCGGUAUUUAACAUUUCUUCCAACCAGCUCUUGGGAAGUAUUCCUCAACAGUUGGGAAACUGCAUUAAACUCCAGAGGCUUGAUCUUAGUAGGAACCAGUUUACAGGACCUGUUCCCAAAGAACUUGGUAGGCUGGUGAAUCUGGAACUCUUGAAGCUCUCUGAUAACAGAUUGACUGGAGCAAUCCCCAGUACACUGGGGGGACUGGCUCGGCUCACAGAUUUACAAAUGGGAGGGAAUUUCUUAUCUGGAAGCAUCCCUGUUGAGCUGGGUCAACUAAAGGCCCUCCAGAUUGCCCUCAACAUCAGCAAUAAUAAUCUGUCAGGCAACAUUCCUGAUGAUCUGGGGAACCUGCAGAUGCUGGAGUCACUCUACUUGAAUGACAAUCAACUUUGUGGUGAGAUUCCAACAUCAAUUGGAGCACUCAAGAGCCUCUGGGUCUGCAAUCUUUCUAACAAUAACCUGGUAGGAACAGUGCCAGAAACCCCUGUGUUUCAGAGGAUGGAUUCCUCAAAUUUUGCUGGAAAUAAUGGCUUAUGUUGGAUGGAUUCAAACCAUUGCCACCCAGUGGUCACACCAUCUCUUGGUCCUAAACCAAACUGGUUAAAGGUGGGUUCCUCUAGACAGAAACUAGUGAGCAUCAUUUCUGUGAUAGUGGGAUUAAUUUCUUUGCUCUCAGUUGUGGGUAUUUGUUGGGCCAUAAAGCCACAUCGGCCUUCUUUUACUUCUCUUAAAGAUCAAACAAAGGCUGACGUAAUAGAUAACUAUUACUUUCCCAAAGAAGGGUUCACAUAUCAGGAUCUGUUAGAAGCUACUGGAAACUUUUCAGACAGUGCAAUUGUGGGAAGGGGAGCAUGUGGCACUGUCUAUAAAGCUGUUAUGUCUGAUGGUCAGGUGAUAGCCAUUAAAAAGCUGAAGUCCUGUAGUGAAGGUGGUAGUGCUGACAGUAGCUUCCGGGCUGAGAUAUCUACCCUUGGAAAGAUCAGGCAUCGCAGCAUUGUAAAGCUGUAUGGUUUCUGCUAUCACCAGGACUCUAAUCUUCUCUUAUAUGAGUACAUGCCGAAUGGUAGUCUUGGAGAACAACUUCAUGGGAGUGAACAGACAUGUUUGCUGGAUUGGGAUGCUCGAUAUAACAUUGCUCUUGGUGCAGCAGAGGGUUUAUGUUACCUCCAUCAUGAUUGUAGGCCUCAAAUUGUUCACCGUGAUAUAAAAUCAAACAACAUUUUAUUGGAUGAAGUGCUUCAGGCUCAUGUGGGUGAUUUUGGCUUAGCAAAGCUGAUUGAUUUUCCAUACUCAAAAUCCAUGUCAGCUGUUGCAGGUUCAUAUGGCUACAUUGCCCCAGAGUAUGCUUACACAAUGAAGGUGACAGAGAAAUGCGACAUCUAUAGCUUCGGGGUGGUUCUUCUGGAACUAAUAACUGGGAGAUCUCCUGUUCAACCUCUGGAGCAGGGAGGGGACUUGGUCACUUGGGUCAGAAAAUCAAUUCAUGAUAUGGUGCCCACAUCAGAAUUAUUCGACAAACGAUUAGAUACAAGUGCAAAAAGGACAGCUGACGAGAUGUCUUUAGUUCUCAAGAUUGCAUUGUUCUGCACCAGUACUUCGCCAAUUAAUAGGCCGACAAUGAGAGAGGUCAUUGCAAUGAUGAUUGAUGCAAGGGAGUCUGUGAAUGGUUCACCCCCAUCUCCGACAUCAGAAACUCCUCUAAGCAAUGAUGAUUCUUCUAAAGAAAUGGAUCCUGUUGUUGCAUCAUGAUGCAAAAGGACUUUAGCUGGGACUUCUAUAGUUGACUAUAAAUUAUUGGGUUGACAAGCAUUUGCUUCACUAACACAGAUUAACACCAAACCUACACGGAAUUUACAGCCCCAUCAAGCCAUUUAAUGAAAGGCUUGUUUGAGGAAGGAGACCCAGUACUCAACAUCCUCGAAAGCUCACCAAGCUGUCCUUAAAAGCAAGCUCUGGUUUUUAAAUCUAUACAACUUCACGUAUCUUUUUUCUUGCAAAUAUGAAUCACUUUGAUGGAGCCAUAUGAAUCUUUUAUCAUGUUCUAGUUCAGUGUUUGGAUUGAUUCAUAGAAUUUUUUAUCAUAUAUAGAUAAAGAGAAUGGAUUUUUUUUUUUUCAAUUAUAAUAUGAGUUAGAUAUUUUUUAUUACCUUCAUUCUUGAGAGAUGAAUCAAUAUUUUCUUACAAAAUACACAACCAAGUAAAG